UAUGUAGGGUGCAAGCGUUGUCCGGAAUUAUUGGGCGUAAAGAGCUCGUAGGCGGUUUGUCGCGUCUGCUGUGAAAUCUGGGGGCUCAACCCCCAGCCUGCAGUGGGUACGGGCAGACUAGAGUGCGGUAGGGGAGAUUGGAAUUCCUGGUGUAGCGGUGAAAUGCGCAGAUAUCAGGAGGAACACCGAUGGACGAAGGCAGCUCGCUGGGACGGUACUGACGCUGAGGCGCGAAAGCGUGGGGAGCAAACAGG
rnacentral:rRNA from 1 species